UCCAAAUAUCUAAUCGUUAGCAUGUGCUUAUUUUUCAUAACUAUAAUGUUCCAUAUUAAUUGUAGCUCCCAUGGUUACAUGUUAUUGCUUUUUACGCUAAAUGUAAUUUGUUUUGAUUUAUUACUCUUUCCAAUUCAAAUGAGCAAUUUUCAAUUAAAUAAAAUUAGUGUUGGAAUAUUCUUGUGAUUGAUUUGUGUGGGAAUAAUGUACAUGAUUUUCUAGAUCUUUUAUUUUUAUAUGUUUAAAAUUUAGGUAGAACAAUCUAAGAAAGAAAUUAGUUCCUUGAUGCUUAACAAAGUGUGGAGCAAAUAUUUGGUUUUUUGGUGCAAGAAAAAAUUGAGAAUUUUAUUAAAGCCCUUAGAAUUAGUUCUUUCUCUAUUAUUUCACUUUUAUAUGUUUAUUUUAUUUAUUUAUUUAUUUGUGAAUGUCUUCUCCUUGUUUCCUUUAUCAUUUCUUUGUAUUGCAUUGCUUAAUAGCUAUCUUGUUAACUUUAAUUUUUAGUAAAAACGUUAUUCUCCAUUCAUGUUUUUUUUUUUUGGUCUUAGAAGUUGUUUUAUGAUAAGCUGAUAUUGCUCUUUUUUUAUAUAAUCUCAUCUAGCUUUCAGUGAGACAGGAAUAACUUACAGGGAGUGGGCACCAGGAGUUAGGGUUUGUUAUGCAUCAUUUUAACAUUUUGAGAUUUUAACCAUUAAUCUUACUAACUUCUAUGCAAUCAAAAAAGUCUUAUUAACUUCUAGGUGUUUUGUUUUCUCUUCAAUUUUUGUGAUUAUUUUACUGCAUUUUCUUUUUCAGUCAGCAGCAUUGAUUGGAAAUUUUAACAAUUGGAACCCUAAUGUAGAUAUUAUGAGUCGGGAGCCAAUAAUUAGCACAUAUGCCAACUUUAGAGAUUGCUCGUUUUUUAUAUAAUCUCAUCUAGCUUUCAGUGAGACAGGAGUAACUUACAGGGAGUGGGCACCAGGAGUUAGGGUUUGUUAUGCAUCAUUUUAACAUUUUGAGAUUUUAACCAUUAAUCUUACUAACUUCUAUGCAAUCAAAAAAGUCCUAUUAACUUCUAGGUGUUUUGUUUUCUCUUCAAUUUUUGUGAUUAUUUUACUGCAUUUUCUUUUUCAGUCAGCAGCAUUGAUUGGAAAUUUUAACAAUUGGAACCGUAAUGUAGAUAUUAUGAGUCGGUCACAAGAUGGAGUUGGUGCUGUCAAAAUAUCAGUAACUCUGCACUUUGUUUCUGAGGCAGCUUUCUUGCAAUUUUGAGCCAAUAAUUAGCACAAAUGCCAACUUUAGAGAUUGCUCUUUUUUUAUAUAAUCUCAUCUAGCUUUCAGUGAGACAGGAAUAACUUACAGGGAGUGGGCACCAGGAGUUAGGUCAGCAGCAUUGAUUGGAAAUUUUAACAAUUGGAACCCUAAUGUAGAUAUUAUGAGUCGGUCACAAGAUGGAGUUGGUGCUGUCAAAAUAUCAGUAACUCUGCACUUUGUUUCUGAGGCAGCUUUCUUGCAAUUUUUCAGCAGCAUUGAUUGGAAAUUUUAACAAUUGGAACCGUA